GUCGGCGUCGUCACCGUCAAGCCGGCCACCGUGCCUGUCACGACCGAAUUGCCCGGCCGCACCAGCGCGUUCCUGGUGGCGCAAGUGCGCGCGCGGGUCGAUGGCAUCGUGCAGCGCCGCGAAUUCACCGAGGGCUCCGACGUCAAGACCGGACAGCGCCUCUACAAGAUCGA
rnacentral:ncRNA from 1 species